UACGUAGGGGGCAAGCGUUGUCCGGAUUUAUUGGGCGUAAAGCGCUCGCAGGUGGUUCGAUGCGUCGUGCGUGAAAGACCCCGGCUCAACUGGGGAGUGUCGUGCGAUACGGUCGGACUGGAGGCCAGUAGGGGGAUGCGGAAUUCCGGGUGUAGUGGUGGAAUGCGUAGAGAUCCGGAGGAACACCAGCGGCGAAGGCGGCAUCCUGGACUGUUCUUGACGCUGAGGCGCGAAAGCUAGGGUAGCAAACGGG
rnacentral:rRNA from 1 species